rfam:Loxodonta africana unplaced genomic scaffold scaffold_110, whole genome shotgun sequence.
CCAAAGGCUCUUUUCAGAGCCACUCAAAUUGCCAGGAGAAGAGCUG